GACGAACGCUGGCGGCGUGCCUAAUACAUGCAAGUCGAACGCAGUGGGGACGGGUGAGUAACACGUGGGUAACCUCCCAUCAGAGGGGAUAACACUUGGAAACAGGUGCUAAACCGAUACUGAUGGAUGGACCCGCGGUGCAUUAGCUAGUUGGUGAGGUAACGGCUCACCAAGGCCACGAUGCAUAGCCGGCCUGGGAGGGUGACAGGGCACACUGGGACUGAGACACGGCCCAGAAGCCUACGGGAGGCAGCAGUAGGGAAUCUUCGGAAAUGGACGAAAGUCUGACAGAGCAACGCCGCGUGAGUGAAGAAGGUUUUCGGAUCGUAAAGCUCUGUUGUUGGAGAAGCGGUAGCUAAACAGAAAGCCACGGCUAACUACGUGCCAGCAGCCGGGGUAAUUC
rnacentral:rRNA from 1 species